UUGCAGGAAUAUAUUAAUGGACGCUCAAUCAGAAUUUGAAGGACAUGAUUGACACUGCUUGGAGCCUGCAUUACAGGAUGGUUCAUCGAGGCCUGAACAGGAUUAACAGAGCAGGGUCCUUCAUUAAUUAAUCGUCGAUAUGUGGGACAUUGCAGAUCAAGUUGGCUUGGCCGGCUUGGUGUGGGUCUCGUUCAGGACAGAUUAUGUUAUGCAAAGAUAGAAUCCGAAUUUGCUGAACUCUCGAUGCCAUCCAGAUGUGCAUCUAGCAGCUCAAUCAUCCUUCCCCUCGAAAGGGGACAACCGUUCCGAGUUGUCAGCAGAAUAACCCCGAAUUCAUGUUCAGAAGCUUCAAAGUUACUUCGACGGCAGCACCUGUUUGUCGCUCAUUCUUCCAUGUCGAUGGAUCUGGUCCUGAAGACACCAGCUGAGAUGCUGAAGCAGCUUUAUCCUAUUGGAGGCUCAGCUGAGCUGCUGUGGAGCUGAAUCCCUCUGUUUGUAUGCUCAGGCUAGUGUGAAGACAUGCUGCCCGAUUGCCGUCAAUUCGAAGGACCAGCCACUUAUGAACUCCGACAAUCGAAUUUCUAUAGCAUAGAGAAAAUGGAGACUCUCUCUUGGUGGAUUCGGCACCUCUCUAACUUGAAAGAGGACUCUUUUUACUGCAGAAAUCUGAAGGCUUUGCCUGAGUGGUUUCCCAAUCUCACCUCACUCCAAAGUCUUACAGUUUUUGGUGGUGGGAAGGAGCUGUCAAGAAGGCGCCCGGAUAAUACCGGAGAGGACCGGCCUAAGAUUUCCCACAUCCAGUUUGUGGAUGUAUCUGGAGAGUGGAGUAAAUCCUCCCUCACUCACUGCCUCUAAAGAUGAUAUAUAUGAAGGGCCUUCACUCCAACCUAUUUACAGUAUUUAGCUCAAGCUCUUCAUGUGCAGUACCAUUUCUUGUAAAUGGCAAAUUAUGAUGUGCCUCUAGCAGCUCAAUCAUCCUUCCCCUCAAAAGGAGACAACCAUUCCGAGUUGUCAGCAAAAGAACCUGGAAUUCAUGUUCAGAUGCUUCACAGAUCUUUUGUAGUUACUCCGAUGGCAGCACUUGCAUGGCUUCUGGUGUCUCCACUUUCAGUUUGUCGCUCAUUGUUCCCUGUCAAUGGAUCUGGUUCUGAGGGCACCAGCUGAGAUGCCGAAACAGCUUUAUCUCAAUGGAGGCUGAGCUGCUGUCGAGCUGAUGGCUCUGUUUGCAUGGAGGGAAAUAAUAAGGUUCUCAGCUUCAGGAUUUCGGAUCUAGCACGAGUCACGGUCUAGAGAGGAUUCUGUAUCGUGGUCACUGUGAUCCAAGAGAACAUGGCAUCUAGCUUCUGGCCUUUUUCUCCACUUUGUUUAUAACGUAAAUGAUGGAGAACGAAAAAUGUUGUUUGUUAACAGUGAUUUCUUUUACAUGUAAAAUUAGCCCGUGCAUUGCAUGGGUAUAAUUUAUGCUUCCACAUGGUCGCGUUGCAGUA